UACGUAGGGUGCAAGCGUUUAAUCGGAAUUACUGGGCGUAAAGCGUGCGCAGGCGGUUAUGUAAGACAGAUGUGAAAUGCCCGGGCUUAACCUGGGAACUGCAUUUGUGACUGCAUGGCUAGAGUUUGGCAGAGGGGGGUAGAAUUCCACGUGUAGCAGUGAAAUGCGUAGAUAUGUGGAGGAACACCGAUGGCGAAGGCAGCCCCCCUGGGUCAAGACUGACGCUCAUGCACGAAAGCGUGGGGAGCAAACGAGG
rnacentral:rRNA from 1 species